rnacentral:rRNA from 1 species
UAUCUCUGUAGAGUCUGCAUAUCAAUAAGCGGAGGAAAAGAAACUAACUAGGAUUCCCUUAGUAACGGCGAGUGAAGCGGGAAGAGCUCAAAUUUGAAAUCUUCAAGGUUCUACCUUGACGAAUUGUAGUUUAAAGAAGUGUUUUCUGUUGGAGUUUCGGUAAAAGUUCUUUGGAAUAGGACAUCAUAGAGGGUGAGAAUCCCGUAUUUGACCAUUUAUUUCAGCUGUGUGAUACACUUUCAAAGAGUCGGAUUGUUUGGGAAUGCAGUCCAAAAUGGGUGGUAAAUUUCAUCUAAAGCUAAAUAUUGGCGAGAGACCGAUAGCGAACAAGUACCGUGAAGGAAAGAUGAAAAGAACUUUGAAAAGAGAGUUAAACAGUACGUGAAAUUGUCAAAAGGGAAGCGUUUGACACCAGUGUUGUCUUCUCGAAAAUCAAUUAAAAAUGGCUUGAUUUUGUGUUGUAUUGACCUUAAAAGCUUUCUGCACUUUUUUCAUGUCUUUUUUAAUGCACUUUUCGUUUAACAAGUCAACAUCAGUUUCUUUUGUUGUAAAAAGGUCAUUGGAAGGUGGCUUUCUUUUCGGAGAAAGUGUUUAUAGCCUUUGACUCCUGCAAUCGGAGAGACUGAGGUCUGCAGCGUAGAUCCUUCUUGGAUUAGAUUCAUUUGUGCUAAGUUAUAGCUUUUUAUAGACAACUUGUUGACUAUAUUUAGUCUUGUAGCUUACUCGCUUAUGCAAUUUUACCUACGCUUAGGAUGUUGAACGCGCACAGAGUCUC